UAUUGUAAUUUUAAUUUUAUUUUUGAAAAUUGUAUAUGGUCUUUAAAAUGAACAAAACAUGUACAUGUGUAUUUCUAUUUUAGGAGUUUGAAUAUGAAUAUCUUCACCUGAUUGGAGCAGUGUUGGCUUUUGGACAAGCAAAUCUAUAUGCAACAUGUCACUGCUACUACUACUACAAAUUGUCACUCUGGAAGGAUAACACACGGCUGUUCUUAUUCCGUGUAGUACUUGCCUCGUCUUUAACAUCUAUUUUCUUAUGCUUGAGCUUAUUGUUUAUUGGCUGCAAAAUCUACGAUCACAGCUGUAUGCUUGCUGACUGGGAUUUCCCUUUCCGAGAAGAAUGUGCCACUAUGGAGUGGUUUGAGUUGAUUGGAAUUUGCAUUUUCUUACUGACACUGAAAAAAGAAAUGCAGCAACUUGGCUUUAGAGUUCCAAAAAGUCUGAAGGAAGACUGGAUUGUCAAGACAGAAAAGUGUUAUGAUGAUGUGGAAGCCCCUGAAGA